CCCUUAGAUGUAAGUUCAUACAUACUCAAACUACUUCCAUACGAUAUUAUUAGGUACGAAUUCAUAUUCUCAUUCUCUCCCCCCCGUUUUAUUAUCUUUGAUUUGCAGGUUCUGGGCCGCACGCGCGCUACACUGAUGCAUUCAACGAGUCUUCCUUGGCCGAGAGGCCUGGGCAAUCUUUUGAACGUGCAUCGUGAUAGGGAUAGAUUAUUGCAAUUAUUAAUCUUGAACGAGGAAUUCCUAGUAAACGCAGAUCAUCAAUCUGCAUUGAUUACGUCCCUGCCCUUUGUACACACCGCCCGUCGCACCUACUGAUGAAUGGUCCGGUGAAGCCUCGGGAUUGUGGCUGGUCUCCUUUAUUGGAGAUUCGUCGCGAGAACUUGUCUAAACCUUAUCAUUUAGAGGAAGGUGAAGUCGUAACA
rnacentral:rRNA from 1 species